GGCUGGGGGUUCUGCAGGGGUCAGCAUGCACCCACCAACCCCCUCUCUGGGAACCCUUUGUUCUGGGGGCUGACUGUGCCAUAUGUGGGGACCAAUGAUAGAGAUGCACAGCAGGGAGGAGGGGAAAACUUGUUACGCUGUUGUAGUGAGCUAAUUACUACACUUACCUAGUUGAUAGAAGAGCGCUCAUGAGUUUCUGUGCCAAUGCACCAUACAACCAAUAAGCAAAGCAUACCAACUUCGGGCACUUCAACAUCAAGGAAUUGUUAAGCACAGUAUUCAAACCACCCACACUAACUGGAGAUUGAACUGCAAGAAUUGAGGAUUCUGCAGUUCACCAUUGAUAAAUAUGGAUUUAUCAAUGGGUCAAAGACCCCAGCCACCCCAGUAAAGACUGUUCUCUCUACUACUGCAUGGCAAGCAGUACCGGAGUGCCAUGUCUAGGACAAAAAGGCUUCUCAACAGUUUUUACCCCCAAGCCAUAAGACUCCUGAACAGCCCUUACAGAAUUACCCACCAACAACGGACCAAGCAGCGGAGGAAGGAGAAGCGCCAGGAGAGGAGCGUUCAGGAUUCGUGGACUUGGGAGGAAAUCCUGGACGGGAAAGGACCAUGGGCUCAAGAUGGGGAUUAUCGCCGCCCGCAGUGGGAGAUCGAGGCGGCGAGAGCUGAGAGGCGCUGGUAUGAGGAAAGGGAGCGCAGCAGACACGAGAGGCAGCCCCCCAUUUUUUUUGGGGGGGGCACACGGGAGAUUGGCAGAGUCAGGCGGUAGACCUGAGCCAACUCCCUGUGCUUACCGGAAGCAGCGUGGUACUGGUAAGACACCGUGUUAUGCUGUGGAGCGCACGGUGUCCCCAGUGCGCGUUCAAA
rnacentral:lncRNA from 1 species